GUAGGGGCGCGGUUCGCCGCAAAGCUAGACGCUUCCAAGCCUCGGCCGAGCGCAAGCUAAAAUAUUUCAUCAUCCAAAAAAUCCACAGAAAGAGCUACUAAGAUGCCGAGCUGACUCCAUCACGUGGCCGUUUAACACUGAGGCCAACCCUUCGGGAAUACAUCGCAAUCGAUGGAGAGAUACAUUGUUCCAAUUCUGAGGCCGUCGCAGCAGGUCCAGACUCACUUCAUCGACUGCACAACUGAAAACAACCGAAGAUUUUUAUUCAAGAUAUUAAUGAGGAACAGUUAUGAACCUAACGAUAGAUCUCAAGUUUUCAUUCGGUUGUAUGAACGAGCCUAUUCCGUUUAACACAUAUGUCCUAUAUAUUUUUAUCUUAUGUUGAAAGUCUUAGAUAAUUCAUAGAUCACUAUACGUCUAGAUGUAGCUGUGAAACCGUCGAAAUAAAUUGAGUUUGACAGU